rnacentral:rRNA from 1 species
UACGUAGGUUGCAAGCGUUGUCCGGAUUUACUGGGUGUAAAGGGCGUGUAGGCGGAGAUGCAAGUUGGGAGUGAAAUCCCGGGGCUCAACCCCGGAACUGCUUUCAAAACUGCAUCCCUUGAGUAUCGGAGAGGCAAGCGGAAUUCCUAGUGUAGCGGUGAAAUGCGUAGAUAUUAGGAGGAACACCAGUGGCGAAGGCGGCUUUCUGGACAGUAACUGACGCUGAGGCGCGAAAGCGUGGGGAGCAAACAGG